rnacentral:rRNA from 1 species
UGGAGGCAGCAGUAAGGAAUAUUGCACAAUGGGGGAAACCCUGAUGCAGCAACGCCGCGUGAGCGAUGAAGGCCUUCGGGUUGUAAAGCUCUGUCUUCAGGGACGAUAAUGACGGUACCUGAGGAGGAAGCCACGGCUAACUACGUGCCAGCAGCCGCGGUAAUACGUAGGUGGCAAGCGUUGUCCGGAAUUAUUGGGCGUAAAGGAUGCGUAGGCGGUCUUUUAAGUGGGAUGUGAAAUACCCGGGCUUAACUCGGGAGUGGCAUUCCAAACUGGAAGACUAGAGUGCAGGAGAGGAAAGUGGAAUUCCCAGUGUAGCGGUGAAAUGCGUAGAGAUUGGGAGGAACACCAGUGGCGAAGGCGACUUUCUGGACUGUAACUGACGCUGAGGCAUGAAAGCGUGGGGAGCAAACAGGCUUAGAUACCCUGGUAGG